UAUUAUCUACCGCGAAAACUAGUUCUCUUUCGUUAUCAUGAUUGCUAAUGCACAAUUAUUACCCUGUGUAUUUGCAUUUCAAUAAAACACACAUUCAAGUAUACACACUCACUGAUAAGAGGACACUAGUGUAUCUCUGAGUCACAAAUCUGCAACGGUCGGAAAUUCGUCGCCAUAGGAUCAACAUUUCGAGGUGUGAUUAAGUACAUUGUCUUGAAGAAUGGCGGGUGUAAACAGGCAAGAUUUCGAUGAUAUUUUGAAAGCAGUUGCCAGAAGAACAAAGCAAGAUGUAGAAAUAGAUGAUCUCGGAAAGGCACUAAAAAUUCCUUCGUAUGAUAUUCAAAGUGCUCAGAAAAGGAACAGCCAAGAUCAUUCACAUAUGGGGUCGUUGGAGUUGCUGAGAGACUGGAUGCAAAGACAAAAUUCAUCAACAAUGAGACAGACCUUGAUAGAUGCCUUGGUAAAGAUAAAACGGAAUGACAUACUCGAAGAAUGUUUUCCGGAGGACGGCGCUGAUACUGUGACCGAACCUACCAAAAAAAAACCAGCAUCGCGUACCUCUGGACUACUAACGGGCAGGAUGACACCUUUGACGGACCUGGAAUUGAUCGAGAUAGCGGACGCUCUGGGUAACCACGUGAAACUUGCGGCUCUGGGAUUACAUCUUGGUUUCAUCGAAUCUGAGGUGGACAUGUUUCUUGCUACAAAUCGAGUUGAUGGCAUUGUGUCUUCCAAAGGCACCAAGAAUAUGCUAUCUGCAUGGAGGAACAACACUCCCGGCGCUGACCAGGCGAAGAAGCUCUGGGAUGCCUUGGUGGCUGCCAAGUUGGGGUACGUUGCUGAGAAACACCUGAAGUGAUUUUCCUGGGAUAUUCUUAGAGGAUAAGUCGAUGUCACCGGAAUGUAAACUGUUGAUUUCUUAUAACUUUGGCUUUUUUUUUUAAUUUUUGUUCGAAGCUACCGAAGUUUCAUGUCAAUUAAAUAUACUGGUAUCACUGAAAGGCAUAGAAGAUUUCAUUAUUUUGGAGGCCCUCUGUACGAAUUGUAGCUAAUUGCUCCCUCUAUAUAGAAAACUUCCCCAAUCGGUGCCUGUUGGUCCCCCAUGAUCCUCUAUUUAUUAUGUUAUUUGAGAGCUGUCAGUGCCCUCGCUGUAUGUUCUAAUCCCUCCUGGCCAAACUAGUGCAGAUAAGCUUUAACUGACGAAUACCUUUAAAGAGGUUUCCCAAAUCUUUUAAAUGGCGGUUUCCAUUGCUCCUGAUGUCACAAUUUCAUUAUGCCAUUUGAGAAGAAUCGAUGAAAAUAAUGCCAUCUUUUAAAUAGAAAGAUAUUUCAUGUCUUGGACAACUUUUGGUAUGGAAGUCAUAAAAGGGUUUAAUAAAUUGAUUUGUUUGGCUAGGCCUGUAUGUUGGAAAUAUUACAAAAUCUUAGUUACAUUCUAAUUGUCGAGUUAGGCUCAGAAUGUUCACCAUUUUCGCUGAAGGUUUCCCAAAUCUGGAAGCUAUCAAACAUGCAAAUUCUUUGUCCCCAAUGGUAAUUUGUAUAUAUAUGUUUUUUUUUACAUAAAAAUAAAUCAAUAAAUAUGUAAAUCUAAAAUACAUUUGAUGACCAAUCAUCAUAGCUAGGUGGCUUGUGAUUGUUGAGGAAAAUGAAACCACAACUCAUUUUGUUUGUGUAUAAGUUACUUGUUACUAAGUACUGGUAUUGUAUGGUAGUUAUUUUCCAGAUCACAAUAUGAAAAACAAUAUCAACAAUAUAACAAAAGUACAUGUUCAUAUAAAAUUGAGAAUAUAGUGAAUGGCUGGAUAGCCUGCUCAGCUUUUUUAAUACGACAAAUUUGUCGAGAAAAAUAAAUGAAAAAAAGAACUCGAAAUAAAUAAAAACAAGACACUUUUUCAUAAUAGUCGAACAAUUCUGUUGAUGACAUCUAGAAAACACAAAACACUUCUAAAACUGUUAUUGACCCACCCCACCCCCUACCGGUGGUAAAUGUAAAUUAUGCCAGGAAUCUUCCACGAGCUUUAAUCAAUCUUGUGUACUUUAUACGCUAAGUUAUCAUACAUGUAUGUAUCGAACCUGUAUGCAUUUAUUCAGCUGUAUGUCUAAUUUGAAUGAAAUAUACAGACCCAUUGCACAAAAAA